rnacentral:tRNA from 1 species
UCCCUGUUGGCUCAGAUGGUAAAGCAUCUACCUACAAUGUGGGAGACACAGGUUCGAUCCCUGGAUCGGGAA